UACAGAGGAGCCAAGCGUUGUCCGGAUUGACUGGGCGUAAAGCGCACGCAGGCGGAUGCGCGCGUGGGGUGUGAAAUCUGGCCGCUUAACGGCCAGGCGCCAUCCCAUACGGCGCGUCUGGAGUGAUGCAGAGGUCGAUGGAAUUGCCGGUGUAGUGGUGAAAUGCGUAGAGAUCGGCAGGAACACCCAGGGGGAAACCAGUCGACUGGGCAUCUACUGACGCUGAGGUGCGAAAGCGUGGGGAGCGAACCGG
rnacentral:rRNA from 1 species